UUUAGUUUAAAAAACAAAAAACGACGACGACGAGAAAAAAAAAAACACGCCCCGCCAAAACUCUAAUAACCAAACCGAAACAAACGUGUGUAUAUAUAUAUCCACUACUACAGUAAUAGUCAUCCCGGUUACAGCAGGGCCGUGUUCUCACCCUGCCCUGACCCUCCCCAGAGGCCCUGAGCUGCAGCAUCAAACUGCUCUCGGUUUACGAGGCACGGAGCACCAGACACACGGACGUAAUAGCGGAGUAGAGCUGAACGAAGCUAAUGUCAACGUUCUAUGAAGAUAAGAACUUUAAGCCAAUAAAGUUCAAGAAGGACAUGAGGCAAAGAAGGACAGGAGGCAACUGCACACAUAGAAUAUCUAUAUCCUGGACUUAAGCCACCGCUUUAAGUUUCAGGAAUUCCAGCUUACAACUACAGCCUUCAUCUCUGCGACCACCGAGGGACAGAAAGAGACCCUCCUAGCAACACGUCACACAUACAUCAUCGGAGGAAAGAAGCAAGAUAAAAGCAAGACUGAAAAAUCUACCAAUUCACGGCAGUUGGUGGAGCGAGACUCCCCUGCCGUCCAGCGCUGUAUUUGCCUUUGCUUUGCCUGCUGUAAUGUAAUAAAUUCCUAUUGGAACUUUUCU